ACUCCUGACCUCAAGUGAUUCGCUAGCCUCGACCUCCCAAAAUGCUGGGAUUAUAGGCAUGAGCCACGGCACCCUGCCAGAAGUGGCUUUGGAGAGAGAUCUUGAAAGUUCCUAACAGGUCACAGACCAAUAUUCAUCCAUGGCCUGGAGAUUGGAUACCCCUACAUUAGAGGAUUCUGUGAAGGACACUGGGAAGGAAUGACGGGGAAGCCAGAACCAGUAAGGGAGAUGUCUCAGUGGUCAGAGAGUUUCCAGAGCAUCUUGGAAGACAACCAGUCCCAGAACCUAUAAACAGUGCUUCCCUUCAGAUGCGGCUUUUAUCCUGAUUGGUCAGAGAAAGAUAGACUGUUCCCUUGCUGAUAAAGGGCUUUUUGAAGACUUUUACAUAACUUCUGCAAUGCACUGGAAAAUAACACCCAGGAAAAGGCUGGGUGUUGGGGGUGGAUAAUAAACUCUUACUGCUGUAUGAAAAGCUACAUUUUUCAGAGUAAUAUGGUGAUUACAGAUAAAAAAAAAUAAAUUUUAAUAAU